CUACGGAGGGGGCUAGCGUUGUUCGGAAUUACUGGGCGUAAAGCGUACGUAGGCGGACUGAUCAGUUGGGGGUGAAAUCCCAGGGCUUGACCCUGGAACUGCCUUCAAUACUGUCAGUCUUGAGAUUGGAAGAGGUGAGUGGAAUUCCUAGUGUAGAGGUGAAAUUCAUAGAUAUUAGGAGGAACACCAGUGGCGAAGGCGGCUCACUGGUCCAAUACUGACGCUGAGGUACGAAAGCGUGGGGAGCAAACAGGAUUAGAUACCCUAGUAGUCC
rnacentral:rRNA from 1 species